rnacentral:tRNA from 1 species
CCCGCCUUAGCAUAGUAGCUAAUGCGUCCGGCUGUAGACCGGAAGAUCCCCGGUGCAAGUCCGGGAGGCGGGA